CCGGCAACCGGCGCACGGGUGAGUAACACGUAUGCAACCUGCCCGUCUCAGGGGGAUAAUCGUCGGAAACGGCGUCUAAUACCCCGUAUGAGGCUGGACGGCAUCGUCUGGUUUUGAAAGAAUAUCGGAGACGGAUGGGCAUGCGGCGCAUUAGCUAGUUGGCGGGGUAACGGCCCACCAAGGCGACGAUGCGUAGGGGUUCUGAGAGGAAGGUCCCCCACACUGGUACUGAGACACGGACCAGACUCCUACGGAAGGCAGCAG
rnacentral:rRNA from 1 species